UACGAGAGGGGCGAACGUUGUUCGGAAUUACUGGGCGUAAAGGGCGCGUAGGCGGCCUUCUAAGUCGAACGAUGAAUCCCCGGGCUCAACCCGGGAACUGCGUCCGAUACUGGAAGGCUUGAAUCCGGGAGAGGGAUGUGGAAUUCCGAGGUGUAGCGGUGAAAUGGCGUAGAUAUCAAGGAGGAACACCAGUGGCGAAGGCGCCGCUCUGGGCCGAUGGACUGACGCUGGAGGAGCGAAAGCGUGGGUAGCAAACAGG
rnacentral:rRNA from 1 species